rnacentral:rRNA from 1 species
CUACCCUUGACAUGUCCGGAAGCCCGGUGAGAGCUGGGUGUGCCCGAAAGGGAACCGGAACACAGGUGCUGCAUGGCUGUCGUCAGCUCGUGUCGUGAGAUGUUGGGUUAAGUCCCGCAACGAGCGCAACCCUUGUCAUUAGUUGCUACAUUCAGUUGGGCACUCUAAUGAGACUGCCGGUGACAAACCGGAGGAAGGUGGGGAUGACGUCAAGUCCCCAUGGCCCUUAUGGGUAGGGCUUCACACGUAAUACAAUGGCGCGUACAGAGGGUUGCCAAGGGGUGACCUGGAGCCAAUCCCACAAAGCGCGUCAUAGUCCGGAUUGCAGUCUGCA